CCCUUAGAUGUCCUGGGCCGCACGCGCGCUACACUGACAUGUUCAACAAGCCUCCUAGUUCGACAGGAUUUGGGAAAUCUUUGAACGCAUGUCGUGAUAGGGAUAGAUCAUUGCAAUUAUUGAUCUUGAACGAGGAAUUCCUAGUAAACGCGAGUCAUCAGCUCGCAUUGAUUACGUCCCUGCCCUUUGUACACACCGCCCGUCGCUACUACCGAUUGAAUGGCUUAGUGAGGUCUUCGGACUGGACUUCGGGGAGCCGGCAACGGCACCCUGUCGCUGGGAAGUUGAUCAAACUUGGUCAUUUAGAGGAAGUAAAAGUCGUAACA
rnacentral:rRNA from 1 species